rnacentral:rRNA from 1 species
GACGAACGCUGGCGGCGUGCCUAAUACAUGCAAGUAGGACGCAGUUGCGAACGUGUGAGUUACGCGUAGGUAACUACCUAUUAGAGGGUGAUAACUAUUGUAAACGAUAGCUAAUACCGCAUACUAGUAGAUGGACCUGCGUUGUAUUAGCGAGUAGGUAGGGUAAUGGCCUACCUAGGCAACGAUACAUAGCCGACCUGGGAGGAUGAUCGGCCACACUGGGACUGAGACACGGCCCAGACUCCUACGGGAGGCAGCAGUAGGGAAUCUUCGGCAAUGGGGGAACGCUGACCGAGCAACGCCGCGGGGGUGGAGAAGGUUUUCGGAUCGUAAAGCUCUGUUGUUAAGGAAGCGGUACUUAAAGAGAAAGGGACGGCUAACUACGUGCCAGCCGCCGCGGUAAUUC